GUCUAAUAUAUUAUAUUUGCUCUGUUGCAUUACAAAGAACAUGAUCAAAGAUUACACAUUGUGAUAAUAACUAGUACUAGCCCCAUUCUAGACGUUUCAAUCAACGUCGCAGCUAUUCUAAAAUGAUGUUUGAAACUUUUGCACUCGAAAUGAUAUCCUAAAAUAUAACAUAAGACUAUCCAGCAGCAACACCAUUCUCGACCUUCCAAUCAACAUCGGAGCCAUGCAUUGUCAAAAUAUCUUAGGAAUCUAAAAAAAUAAAGAAAUGAGAUCAGUAACUUGUGGUAGAAAAAAAGGUCAAUAGAGAAACAAAAAAAGGUUGAAGGGUAUGCGAUAAUUAAUACGGCUGCAUGACCAAUAAUUUGAGCUUUUUUAGCGGCUGUAUCAACUGGUCAGAUUUUGCUAAUGUAGCAUCGACUUGCACUACAUGUACAUCUUUAAGGAAGAAAAAGUACAAAUCACUAGCUUAUUAAGCGCGUAUUGUUUGAUAACAUAGAACCUCCACGCACAAUUAGAUAGCAUUUCAUAUUGCGUCACGUAUUUCAGUUACUAUUUAAGCACUAAAUUACAUAACUAAUUGAUAUCUAAUAAACUUAUGUGACUGGUCGACAAUAGCAUGAGCGAAUAUGGUGUGAUACGUUAACACAAAACCCAGACUAGUUAGACUUGGACAGUAUCAGAUCUUUAGCUAAAAAUAGAUAUUAGCUUAUACUAAACAAAAUCAUCUCAAUCCAUAAUUAGGUUUCAUCAUGUUGAUAGAAAUAGUGUUUUAUAGGAAGCGAGGUAAUGUAAUGUACACAUGCAGUAUUUGUUGAAUUGUUUUACCUAAUCUAGCCGCAAAGAGUCUUGUCUCACAGAAGCACUAUGAGAAUUUUUCACAUGCAAGAAAAAUGUUAUUUUGUACAAAUUAGGAGGGGGAAAAUAUAGGCAUAUGGUAUAUAAGAAAUAAUUCCAGAAUUGUAAUUAAUAGUCCAAUUUCCUUUGUACUGGUGACAGAACUAUAAUUAAAAAUUACCUCAUACAAAUUCCUACUUGGCACUAGUGAUCUUCUAUAUUUUAGUGCCAAGAAUAUUGACAUGGAACCAGUGCUGGUGCUAGGAUUCAUAAGCUAUGAUUUUAAAGCCAUAAAUUUAAAUUACAUGUACACAAACUACACUUAAAUGUAGUAAGACACAAGCGGCAAAC
rnacentral:lncRNA from 1 species